UACGUAGGGUGCGAGCGUUGUCCGGAAUUACUGGGCGUAAAGAGCUCGUAGGUGGUUUGUCGCGUUGUUCGUGAAAACUCACAGCUCAACUGUGGGCGUGCGGGCGAUACGGGCAGACUGGAGUACUGCAGGGGAGACUGGAAUUCCUGGUGUAGCGGUGAAAUGCGCAGAUAUCAGGAGGAACACCCGUGGCGAAAGCGGCUCUCUGGGACGGUACUGACGCUGAGACGCGAAAGCGUGGGGAGCGAACAGG
rnacentral:rRNA from 1 species